UUAAUUACCCAAGUUUGAGG
rnacentral:misc_RNA from 1 species